CCUACGGGUGGCAGCAGUGAGGAAUAUUGGUCAAUGGACGAGAGUCUGAACCAGCCAAGUAGCGUGAAGGAUGACUGCCCUAUGGGUUGUAAACUUCUUUUAUAAAGGAAUAAAACGAGGCACGUGUGCCUUUUUGCAUGUACUUCAUGAAUAAGGAUCGGCUAAUUCCGUGCCAGCAGCCGCGGUAAUACGGAGGAUCCGAGCGUUAUCCGGAUUUAUUGGGUUUAAAGGGAGCGUAGAUGGGUUGUUAAGUCAGAUGUGAAAGUUUGCGGCUCAACCGUAAAAUUGCAAUUGAUACUGGCAGGCUUGAGUGCAGUGGAGGUAGGCGGAAUUCGUGGUGUAGCGGUGAAAUGCUUAGAUAUCACGAAGAACCCCGAUUGCGAAGGCAGCUUACGGAACUGUGACUGACAUUGAUGCUCGAAAGUGUGGGUAUCAAACAGGAUUAGAUACCCUUGUAGUC
rnacentral:rRNA from 1 species